GGGGUCUGGCGUGUCAGUGCCAACCUCAGUGUGUGCCCACCUGGCUGGGCUGUGACAGUGCCCGGGUUCGGCCCCAACCUUGCUUCAUGAUUGGAGCGGGCACUGGGAGCAGGGAGAGGCCAGGCAGUGGGAGCAGACACUUCGCAGGGGGGCCUUCCUGGGCCCCCAAGAGCACAGAGAUGCCUGGGUUUGCAGCCGGGCCUG
rnacentral:lncRNA from 10 species